GCGGUGCGGGGGCGGGGCCGUGGCGCUGGAGCGGCUCGUUGUGCGCUGCGGACCGAUCGCCUCCCGCUGCCCGGGCCCGGCCGCCGCCGCCGCAGAUAUAUUGUAAAAUGUCCAAUGGUUAUGAAGAUCACAUGGCUGAAGAUUGCAGGGAUGAUAUUGGUAGGACAAAUUUAAUUGUGAACUACCUUCCUCAGAACAUGACACAGGAUGAACUACGGAGUCUGUUCAGCAGCAUCGGCGAAGUGGAAUCUGCAAAACUUAUUCGGGACAAAGUUGCAGGACACAGCUUAGGCUACGGCUUUGUGAACUACGUAACUGCAAAAGAUGCUGAAAGAGCAAUAAACACACUGAAUGGCCUCAGACUUCAGUCAAAAACUAUCAAGGUUUCCUAUGCCCGCCCAAGUUCUGAAGUUAUCAAGGAUGCUAAUUUAUAUAUCAGCGGCCUGCCCCGGUCAAUGACACAGAAGGAUGUAGAAGAUAUGUUCUCCCGUUUUGGGCGCAUCAUCAACUCACGUGUGCUUGUGGAUCAAACCACAGGUUUGUCCAGAGGGGUCGCAUUUAUCCGGUUUGACAAAAGGUCAGAAGCAGAAGAGGCAAUUACAAAUUUCAAUGGUCACAAACCCCCAGGUUCCUCCGAGCCCAUUACAGUGAAGUUUGCAGCCAACCCUAACCAGAACAAAAAUGUGGCACUGUUGUCGCAGUUGUGUCAUUCACCAGCUAGACGGUUUGGAGGGCCAGUGCAUCACCAGGCACAGAGAUUCAGGAAUUGGAUUAUUAUUGUGCAGUUUGGAAUUUGACAUGUUUUCAGAAGAAUCUGAACUGUGUUCAGGAAUAGGCCAAUCAAGGUUUCUCCACUAAAGAUUUUGUAACUUGUGGCCUUGUUAGAAAGAUGGAAUUAAAAGAAGGGGCUUAAUUUCCUUUUUAUUUUUCAGGAAAAAAUUUGUUGUCUUUAUCUUACAUUUUUCUUCCCGAUUAAACCAAACCCAAAGCCCAGCUAUACUGUUACUCAGAAAUGUGUGGUGAAACUUCUUCAGGGAGCUCCUGGGGAAACACCUCAAGUUGGCCCAUUGGAGGUUUAGAUUGGAUGAAGAUUUUCUGCAGAUUGUGCCAGGGUUGCCAGGCCCUGGCACAGGUUGCCCAGGGAAGUGGGGAGUCACCAUCCCUGGAAGUGUUCCAAAAACACGUGGCUGUGGCACAGGGGCCAUGGGUUAGUGGUGGUGCUGCCAGCUUGAUGGUUGUACUUGAUGGCCUUAGAGGGUUUUCCCAACCUGACAACUGUGAUUCCUUGAGAAGGGACCAUCAGUGCAGGUCAGGCUGCCUGGUUCCUUGGGCGAGGCUGGGGCAGGACAGACACCCCAGGUAAAACCCUGGGGGAGGUUCUGUAAGAGGUGUUUUCCACAAAUGCUUCUGACACCACGUCCUUUUGGUUGAAGGAUCACUGUGUUUUAGUCUUAGUUUUUUCUUCUCCAAAACAAACUUCUAGUUUUGGUAAGCUGAAAUCUGUCCUGCUUCAUUUCAGCAGGUGUCUCCUGUCCUUUAGUCACUGAUAUAAUCCCUCUGAGAGCUGGGCUAAUUGUGGUAUCUUUGAGACAUUGCCUCUGAUUUUUCUCUUAAAGACUUACUGAGAAAAGUGAUGUAAAGUAAGAGCUAUAGAUAGUGGGUUUUAUGUAUGAUGUCGUGGAGCGUGUGGCAAUGCUACCUCAGCUCAGGAUCUCUCCCAACUUGGGAGAUUUUAGAUUUGCAGUUACUUUUUCUGUGAUGGGAAUUUCUCAGUUCAGCAGUGUUCACCAUAUGGAAUUAUUUGUUGAACUAAAUUUGUAAAGAGCAGAAGUGAGAAUUUCUGUUCCUACCAUUAUAUCAGUGGAUUGUUGAAUGUGCAGCAUCUGGUGUAUUCAGGAAUGCUUCAUCAGGAUUCAGACCUUUCCUGGAUUUUCCUUUGCAUGGAGCUGGAACACCUUCUCCAUUUUUUGCUCCUACCAGAGUUCAUCCCAUGUGGUUCACUUUGCUCAUGUUCAUUUUGACCACUAUGGUAUUUUCCAUGUUUUUCUUCCAUGAAAAAUUGUGAGGGGAAAAAAUACAUUAAAUUCCAAAAGGUUUAAUAACAGACAAGGCCAUGUGGAGUUCUAGCCCCUCAGAAACGGUUUUUUUAAAAGCAAACCAAAAAACUUAGUGUAGACCAGUUAACACCCAGACAGGGACUCUGGUUUUUGCAGAAUUCCUGACAGACUCCCUGGCCUUUGACUAUUCCCUCUCCUUUCUCUGCUCUUGUAUCCUGCUUCCAAAUAUCACGCCCUUCAUUUCCAGAACAGUGAAAGAGGGAGGGGGGGAGAAAAAAGAUGUUAAACUGAUACGUCAGAGAAAGAAGUCUGCACCCUUUUCUCUGUAUUUCCUAUCCUUACAAAAAAGGGAAGAAUGUGACUGUAAGAGGUGUCCUGGGUCAUGCUGACAGUACACUUGCUCCGGAUUCUGUCCCAGCAAUGGCAGUGAGCAGCUAUUUAAGGAAGGCCUGGCUGCCCCCCCUCCCCCUUCAUUCCUCAGUGUCAGAGGAGCCCUAGAUACCUCCUCUUCUUUAGAAUCCUGAUUUUUGAAACUGCCUUUCUUUUCCUGAACUGUCCUCUGCUUCAUCCCGUACUGACAGCAGGAAGAGGAAGUGGAGCAUUUGGGAGUGGUUUAACACAUAUGUGUUACUUGUGCAGCUGAAUGAAGAUUCUGCCUCAAGAGAAGGCUCAUAGAGGAGAGCAGAGCAGGAGUGGUUUGGCUUGGGAGCAGAGCUGGGGCAGUGUGAGCAGUGCUGAGCUGCUUCCUGCCAUGGGCUCCAGCUCUGGUGUCCUGGGAGGAGGAGGCACUGGCAGGACUCCAAGGCUGUCUUGCAGCCUGUGAACAGCUGUGGUAAGUAGCUUGUGCUUCUCAGUCCUCGCACAGAGAGGUUUGGUCUUGGUCUAACCAGACUUGCAGAAUUUGUGAUUAAACACUUUUGUGACCAUGUAUCCUGCUUUACCUUUCUGUCCCAGCUUGUUCCUUCUGCUUUUCAUCUUUCAAGAGACACAGAGUGCAUGUAGGUUUGUAUGUGUAUGUUUGUACACACACGUAAUACCUGUGUGUAAUAAAACGUGUAGACUGUAUUUAUACAUUUAGAGUAGGUACACACACCUGUCAGUUGUGUGUUACUGUCUCUGCUGUAUAGGUGCUAUAUAUAGCAUAUGUGGAAUGGCACAUCUGCACUGUCCCACAUCCUGCACAGUGCAGAGGUGUAUGUCCUUGAAAAAACAAGAUUAUGUGAAGCUUUCUAAGGCAUUGGUUACAGCUCUACAGUAAUGUGAGGAGCGAGCUGUGGAGGUUUAAGAAAAUUAAUGCCCAUCUUAGAAAGAAUUUAACAUCCACAUUUUCUAACACUGGAAAACUGCCCUGUCUGUAUGUUGUGUCUUGGUGUUUUUCAGCAGUGGUCCUGUACUGUACCAUAUCACUGCUGCUCAGGGAGCACCUCCCAUUCCCUUCUCCCUGUGGGAUGCAGCGCUGUCACUCCGUGGGAGUCAGUGACUUCAGAAAUCAAUGAUCUUGUUUUAAGCCACCUUUACUCUGUAUUUUCCCUCUUUCUGUUUUUACUGUAUUCCAUGGGUCUUAAUGUCUUAAUCUUUUCUUACUGCAGGAAUGGAGGAAGGAAGACAGUUCAGCUGCAAGAAGGACUGUGGUUGUAGAGGGAUGGCAGUGGCUGAGCUGCGCACGCCACGGCACUCGGCACGACAGCCUGGGCUGCAUGGCCAGGGCCCCCUAUCCCCAUCACUGGAUUCCCGGAGGGACAUCAGGGCUGCUCAUGCCUUUUCAGAUAAAACAUAGCAAAGCUUUGUUCCAGUAUGUUCAGAGCUGCUUUUCUGAACAACACAAAGUUCAAGUUUGAGAUUUGACUCAUUGUGGUGUCUGUGCCUUGUUUAGUCACUCAGGUAGCUCAUAAAGACUUGCACCAGGUGUUUUAUUCCAGGGCAGUGAUGCCUUCAACACUGUAUAAUAGUUUCUGGAAACAUUCUGGAUGCCCUGAUUUGCAUCUUUUACUUAACACACAGUGAAGCUCAAAGGCAGAACAAGAGCUGUAAGAUGGAAAUUGGUUGAGAAGCUUUGUGCUUCUGUUCUGAUCAUGGUGCUCUGUGCUCAGCUGGGCACUUGAGAGCCUCAUGUCCUGUUGGACUGCUGGGGCCAUGAAUGUUUGCAAUGGAAUAUUUGCCCUGAUUUUGGUCUUUCCACAUUCACAUGGCGAACCUUGAUAUCAUAGAAGAACAUCUCUGACGUCCACUCCAUGGAAUUGGAUGUCCAGCUUCUUUGUCAUUAUCCAUUCUGGGUUUGGGUGAGGGAAUAAUGAGAGCUGGUUGUAUCCAAGAAGAAAUAAAACAAGAAAAGGACAGACUUGUUGAACUGGGGAGAUUAAGGCAGCCUGGUGUAAUUUGUGAAACGUGACAGGAAGGACCCCUGUUGGGAGCAUUGGGGUCAGCAUGGGGUAGGGAGUUGAUUGAUAGGACCUGUGUCAGCACUUUGCUCACUGAGGACAUGAACAGCAUUGAGUCCUAACAGAAGGUUUGCUUAAUUUGCUGCACCAAAAAAAAAAAAAGAAAAAGAAAAAGAGGGAAAGAAGUGUGAUGUCCUAAUGUGAACAAAGAUGGAGUGAUUUUGCUCAGAAAUACUUUGGCAUUUGAUGCUACAGCUGGUAGUGUGUCCAUCUCCUGUUCCUUAUUGGAGGUUGAGGAGGAAUUCCUUGCAAUGGGUGCAUUUUCAUCCUGUGUGAAAGCUGAAUAGGUUAUUAAAAUAAUGUUACAUGGCACAGCUUCAUAAAUGUUUUUGUAUUAGAACAUUUUAGAUAUUGAGAUCUUAGAAAAAGCCCCAUAACCAUAAUAAUAAUCUUCAUCACCAUCAUUGAAAGUCUUUGAAGAUGUAAAUAAGGCUCUGAAGGUGAGCUCUGGAUUUGUUUUAGGUGCUGGUGUUGCUCGUGUCCAGCAUCUUAUACCAACUCUCCACCAUCAUCCUACUUGUGCUGAUAAAACUGUUGGUAGGCAUUUCUUUAAUUAAAAGAAAGAUAACUCUUGCCAGUGGUUCCUUUAAAUCUGGAUCAGUUCUUGGAUCUGAUUCCCCUGUAGUCCCCAUUCCAGCCAUGCUGAAGGGGCAGUUAAAGGGUUGGGAUCAGGCUGUGUAAUAUGGCACUUGUAUCAAAAAGUGCACUGGAUUGUGCUUGGGGUCAGCUGGGGGCUCAAGGAAACGGUAGGAAUUAAUUAUUCUGAAAAGGCAGCUAGACUAGAGUGUGGACUGUGGAUAUGAAGGACAGUCCUUGGAGUAAUUUCUUAGUCAAAACUGUUGGUAUGAUCAUCAGUUCAUGUACCUGGCAAAAUCCAUAAAACCUGCACUGGCAAAAAUCUAACCCGAGGUAUUAAAAUCACAGUAAAUGGAGCAGUGGAGGUGAGAAACUAAAGGUACUUUUCAAAGGUCAGGAAGGAAAUUAGCUAUUUGUAACUGUGAAGUGGGGAAGGAAGCAGCUCUGUGUUCAGCCAAAGGGACAAUGUGGCUGUUGCUUACAGAAGAUUGGGCAAUGGAAGGGCAAGGACCUGCAAGGUAAUGGCUGUGCUAAAACCAGGAGAGAUGUGAUCUUGAACAGAAGAGUUCUGGUAGGAAGCACAUUAACUUGUCCCUCCUGGCAGUGUCUCGUGUGGAAAAUUGCACAUCACAAACAAAUGUGUAUUAGUGUAUGGCAUGGGCUGGUACAGCCCUGUUAAACUGAUCCCUGUGCUGCACCCUGUGUUUCCUUGGACAGGACACUUUCCCCUGCAUAGUGCUGAAGUAGGGAAUGAAGGCUGUGGCAGCUUCUUCCAAAGGGCUUUGAACUGAGGAUGCUCCAUGCCACCAUUGCAUGGUCAAAAAACUACUCUAAAGCCAUAUGCUUGAAAUUCUGAAUAACAGAAUUUAAAGAUACAGAGCUAAAUGAAAAUGUUCAAAUACAUUUUGUCACAGAAAAAUUAAUUUGGUACGUUACUUUGAGAAUAGUAAGUAAAUAGAUUUUUAAAAUUCAGUAAGUCCCAUUUGCAUGGACUUUUGUAAAGCAUUUCAAAUGGUAUUGCAUACCACUAAAUAAACUUUGUCAGUUAGAAAUACAGGAAAUUUAGGGUUGGAGUUGCUUUAAAGAAGGAAGGCAGCCUGGAAGGGUUAGCAGAAGGUUUUCAGCUGGUGGGAUAUUACCGAUUUCCCAGAUCUUUGGGAUGCAUUUUCAGCAUUUACCUGUGUUGAAGUGUCACGUAUGUGCUAUGGCAUCCUCUGCUGGAAAUUGUGGAGAGAUGCUGCAGCUCUUCCCUGGCUUCCCCGUUCCCACUCUCCUGUAUGAGAGAGGUUUUGGAGAGGCAGAAGGAGUGUAAAUGCUCUGGCCCAGAGCGUGGGUUGGUGUGAUGCAGAGGAGUGCACAGACAGGUUCAGGAGCCAGGAGCUUGAUGGGUAACGGGGAUGUGGGACACAGCUGUGAGAGGGACAUUUGGGUGCAAAUUGUUCAGGGCCUGUGGGAGUAGGAGAGUCCAUGUGAGUCCUGUAGGCUCAGUCAGGUGCUUUGUAGCAACUUGUGACACAGGACUGAAGCUUUCCAGAAGAGCUUCUUGCUGGGGUAGUUAAUUUACUUCUCUGUGUGCUACCAGUCUGUAUCCUUUGGCUGGGAGAUGUUGGGAGUGGGGAAAUCCUUCCAGGACAGGGUCUGGCAGUCUGUUGGCAAUAUUGUCACUUGUUUAUUUAUGAAAAUGCAGUGGAAGGCUAUUGAGGAGAAGUUCAAAAUCUCGGUGCAUCUGUUGUUCAGGGGUUGGUCACACAGGUGACAUAGGAGGCUCAGAAUGGGCAGAUAGUGAAUUCUUUCUCCCAAAGAAGCUGGAGUAGAAGCUUUUUGGAUGUCUUGUUCCCAGGUGCAACAUGUGGCACUGCUGCUGAGCUCUUUUUGCUUAUGAGGAAAUAGAUGGAGAGGCCCAAACCUUGUGAUAUGUGUUUGUGCUGAACUGAGCCAUCCUGCCUUGCUUAUUCUGACAGGGAAGCAGCUGAGCAAUUGGGUGGUUUUCCUCACGGGGGUGGGAGAUGAGGGAAGGGAGCGUGUUGUGUAGGGUAAUGGUGCAGUGAUGAGAAUGAAUUGUGCACACCAGGAACUUGCUGCUGACUACUUUGAACAGCUCAACACAUUUCUCAGGUGAAGUCAGUGCUGCCUCUGCAGUGAUGAUGGCUGUUUGCUGGCCAGAGCCAGCCAAGGACUUGUGGGGCUUGUCACUGAAUCAAAUCCUCCUCAGAGCAAUCUUUGCAAUCCUGGGUUAAAGGAGUGUGUUCCUGAUGGUUGCAGGUGAAAUCCAGCUGAGGGGUGGUUUGGUGAGGAGGGCAGAGCUUACCUGCUGUGUGUGGCUGCCAGGAACAUCAGGGCUGUACAGCCGAGGCGGCCCCAUGAGCUGCACACAGGAGCGGGUUGGCUCUGCCCUGGGCUCACUGCCAUGGCUCCUUGUACAGGCCCCCAGCCCUGCGUUCUUCCUUAUGAAACAGGGUGUUGUUACGAGGCCGUCUGCUCUGGGCACCAGGAUGUGGUGGUCCUUGUCCCCAGUCCAGCUCAGAGUAGGUGGAAUCAUGUGGCUGUUGGUGCUGGCAGCAGCAGAUGUUCCUGGUGGGUGCUUUUCUUUUCAGCUGUGUUUGAGUGCUUGAGGGUGCGAUGGACAAUGGAAGAGGAGUCCUGAUUGUUCGUAUCUGCCCAUUUGCAGGGUUCUUGUGUCUCUGGUUGUUCUAUAUCUGCCAGUUUUGGGGGGUUUAGUGCCCCAGUAGAGCUGCUGGGGGGAUGCAUGGUGUUCACCCUGAGCAGUGGGACUCAGCAGGUUGUUUCUGUUCUCUGCUGCUUGGCUGUGUCGCUGCUGAGGCUUACCUUGGCUUGUGCCUUUGCUGGAUCAUGAGGGGAAAGGCAGGUUUUAUGAUUGUGGCUUCAAAAGGUGAAAUAAUUCAGGUCCAUAGGUGAACCCAGAGUCUGAGCACUUCCCAGUGUGUUUGGUUUGUACCUGGUUGGAAAGGUGAGAGAGUGAAUUAGAACAGAGUUCUGCUUUGGUAACUAGUUGUGAGCAAGUGGGUAAUUGCUGCUCUGGAAGGGUAUGUAUGAAUGUUUUAUUUGUUACUUAAGGCUUCAUGUCUAGGAAAUGCAGAUUGGUGCUCAGGUUAGAGGGAAGCAUGGUCAGGAAGAGCAGGUCAUAACUCUGAAUAGCAACUGGGUGCAUCCUGUGGGGAAGAAUCGCUUGAUAAAAACCAACCAUUAAAGUUCUGGAUUUGCAUUUUGUUGGCAUUAGGAGGAGAAUUGUGAGGAAGUUAGUCUGGCUUGAGCUAUGACACCACGAGUAGAUGUCUGCCAGGCUGUAAGUGCAAAGAGCAUGUGCUUUGGCUGUCUCUAGUGAUUGCAGCCUGUCAAAGUAACAGCUGGGGGUAGAGAAAGCAAGACAGAGAAAUUGAGUGAGAUGUCUAGAGACAACACAGUCUUCUGAAGUUGGGAUCAUGAUGCUGCUCUUCUCAAUGUUUUAGCACCAGAAUCUGGUUUAAAAUCCUGCUUUGCAGAUGGUUGAAGACUCCAGGAAUAUUCAAAGGGAAAGAAGGAGGAGAAUGGCCAAUUACCCAUUUUAUUGUGUUUCCAGGAAGGACAGUGUGUAGAAGAUCUCUGAGGUGAAAUGGCCGGGUAAGUGGAGCAGCAAGUUUUGGGUUGGGUGUAAUGUUUCAGCCUGACUGUUCUUUCUGUCUGUGUUGAGCUGUGGUUUGCCCAAGUCCAUGGCUCAGAGUGAAAACUAAAAUACGGCCUUUUAGAGUUUGAAGGUUCAGGAUUCUAAAAAUAGGGCUCUUGCUCAGACAUGUAAUUUAGGGUGGGAUUCACCUACUGACUCAAACAAUUAAAGCCUUAGCACCCAGUCCAAACCCAUCAGUAGGAGCCUUCUGAGGACAUCUACUCCUAAAGCCUGAGAUGUACUGCUCAGAGAGGUGCCUGGCUCUCACUGUUGGCUGCAGGGCACUUCAUCCGUGUAGUUUAAAUGAGACACGAAGCUUCCAGAAAACAAAGGUAAGCGCACAUUGCACACCUGGGUGCCAGGACCUCUGCACCUGCAAAAGUCUGGCUGCUCCUGACAUGGAUUUUGAGCAUCUUACAGGGGGAUGUUACAGCUUCCUCCCCAAACUGAAUCCUGUGAAGUUUGCAUCUGGAGAACGUCUAGCACAGUGAGGUGGGACACGCUGCAGAAUUGCCCAGGUUGGUGGAGGCCCCAGGUAAAGAGUCCAUGAGGCACCUCUGCACCCUGUGCUAUGCAUGGCUGGGGGCUGAUGGGGUCUGCAGGGCACUGGGGUGGUGGGGGGGAUCUAAACACCAGCCCUGAGGGCCCAGCAAAGGUGCAGAUGCAACUUACAGGGAACCUGCAAGAGACCCAGAGAAGGACUGGAGACACGGGCCUGGAGUGCCUGGACAAGGGACAGUGGCUUACCACUGCCAGAGGGCAGGGUUAGAUGGGAUAUUAGGAAGAAAUUCUUGGCUAUGAGGUGGGGAGGCCCUGGCUCAGGGUGCCCAGAGCACCUAUGGCUGCCCCUGGAUCCCUGGCAGUGUCCAAAGCCAGGCUGAAGGGGGCUUGGAGCAGCCUGGCAUGGUGGGAGGUGUCCGUGUGCCUCGGGAUCUCCUCUGGUCAAGAUGACCCCGAGAUGUAUUAAAAGUCUCUUUUCUCCAACCCAGCUGUCAAAGAAGGAGUCAGAAGUCUUCGGCUGUAGUUCUCCAGGUUGUUUAUUAUUUCUUAUCUAAAAUAUUUUCUGUCUGGCCUGCCAAGGUCUGUUCAGCAGGUCAGUCUGAGGCACACUGCCCUCCCACAGGGCCGGUGUUGUCUUUUAUACUAUAAACUACAUAUUUGUUAUUUACAGUUAUGUUCCAAUACCUAUCACCUGUGUUAGACAGUGACUUUCUACUCUAAACCAAUCCCAAAGUGCCACCAUCACCAAGAAGAUGGAGGCUAGGAAGAAGAACAGGACAAUGCCCAAAUCCCUCCAUCUUGUCUCCUAGACCCCUAGAGUAAAAUCCCCAAAAUUUCUCUUUUCACCCUAUAACUACUACUAUUAUGCUAUCUAAACUUUUGUGACCUUUAAUUCUUCAUACGAAGGUGGUAAUUUAUUCCAUGGGUCGAACUCAAAGCUGCAGGGGUCUUUGGCUGCAUGCCAGGGCCUCCAACCCCCCCUGCCAGGGCUUCAGAGCCCCCUGGCUGGGGCUCGGAUCAUCCAGCACCAUCAGAGAGAUGCCCUGGGCUCUGACACCUGCGCAGGGUGUGGGAUGAGAUUCUGUGCAUGUGAACACUGAAUGGCAAUUUGAGGUAGAUCUGAACUGCUUUUUUUUGCACAUUGUCCCAUGAACAGCCUGUGAUGUGCUCCUGUAGCACCACGUUCUGCCCUGCCCUGGGCUGUGGUGUGUGGAACCCUCCCUGGGUGAUGGACUGAGCUGCACCUGCCUGAAGGAGAGGCUGAAAUCAUUCAUUCAGGUCUUCUAGAAAGUUUUAUUAUCACAUCAGACAAAAUCAGGAGUUCCUCAAGGAAACAAAUGCAUACAGUGAAUUGGAAAAGGAGAGGCAGAAAACACCCCCAGGGUGGCACUCACUCCUUAGAGGAGCAUUUAGUGGAAAUUAUAUGCUGUGAUUGUCAAAAAAAACUUACUUGAGCCAUAUCUAUCACUCAGGGCUGCUUUGGAAAUCUGGUUUUACAGAGAAACCUGGGGUUUUAAUAAAUUUAAAUAAUUACCUUCAAAAAUUUUUGUGGAAGGGACUUCUCAAAAUUAUUCUAGAAAACUUGCAGACUAAUUUUGAGGUGGGUAGUAUUCUAAAUUAAAAGAGAGCUUUGGGCUGCUUUUCACAUCUGUUGUUUGGAUUGUAUUUUGCCACAUGCUACACCAUUGAGUUAUUUUUUUUUCAGUUUUAGUAAAACACAAACCAAAGUGCAUUGUGAUCCCAAGGAAGGAUGUCAGCAGUGCUCUGCUGACAGCGCCCUUCCAGCUCCAUUUAUACAUCCUAAAAAGGUGUGAAAAUAAUAUAAAAGCGAAAACUCAUCUCUGAUCAAAACUCAUCAUUUUAUGAACUCAGAUAUGUAAAAAUAAUUUGUUCUCUGGAAGACUGCUGAUGCACAGAGAUGAACCAGUCUGUAGGAUUGAGGCAACUUAUCCAUGGGCUUGUAGGAACAAGCCAAUGUCUUUUGGAUAAAGUAGACACUCAGGUCAUUCUGUUCAAUGAAAAUUCACUUAAUGUUUAUGGCCAGGCACAUCCUCAAAUUCCCAAAUACCAUUGCAGAAACGUCAUUCCCCAGUCAAGGCUCAUGUGGCCAACAGGUGGGUUUUCUGUCCCUGUGUCUGGGGAGUGCCCCAAAACCAAGGGCUGCUUCAACUUUUCCUUUUGCUUAAUAACUACAGACUCCAUAAAUACCUUCCACAUGGAUUUUAGUUCACCAAAGUAGCUUUCCUUCAAUGUUUUUUUCCUUCAAUUUUUUUUCAGUAAAAUAAUAACUCUUGUAUAACAGCCAAAUUCCUUCACCCAGUUGCUCUCCAACUUUAUUACAAUAUUAUACACAGCAGCCAUAACCCAGGCAUCACCGAUAUUACCAUAGCAGCUGAGAUUUUUGUUUAUAAGGAAAACAAUGAUUCCCAAGGAAGAAGUACAGGUUUGAGCUUGUGUGCUUUCUGUACACCAGGUUUCUGUGCUCUAUGGUGUGUGCCGUGCACUGCCUGUACUUCUCUAAUUGCAUGGAAAUAACACAGAGCUAGAUUUUCAGUGCUAGAACAGAGAGAGGAACCUCUUCUUACUGAUGCCUGAGAAAAUAGUUUAUAAGACUUUGAAGGUGCAGUGUGUCAGUCAGCAGAAUUUAAUUAUGGAACCAUAUAAUAUCCUGAGCUGGGAGGGACCCUCAGGGAUGCUCAGGGCAGCCCCUGUCCCCGCACAGCCACCCCAACAGCCCCACCCUGAGCAGCCCUGGCAGCGCUGUCCAAACGCUCCUGCAGCUCUGGCAGCCUUGGGGCCAGGACCAUUCCCUGGGCAGCCUGGGCAGUUCCUCAACUCCCUUUUUUUUUACCUUUUUUGAGGCUGUAUAGAUGAGUUUCAGUUUGCCAAGCAAAACACCUCAGGUUUCCUGAUGUGGGACACAUGGAACUUCACCUCCCUCCCAUCCUAGUCUCCUGAGUACAGCUGGUACAGAAUAAAACUCCAGGUGGUGCCCACUGACUUUGUCCAGACUCUGCUACUUUCUCAUCUUCUAGAAAUCUCUUGUUCCUCACCCCCAAUGAGUUUGUGUUGCUCUCUACAAAAGCCCUGCUGGCAUUCUGGGGUUCCUGGUGCCACCAGCUCUCAGGGUGGCACAGGUAGGCUGCUGUUCCCCCUGAGCAGCAGAUAAACACUGGUGUCAGUGUUUCCUCAGCAGCAGAUUACUGAAAACGUGGGUGGGGUUGGGAUGGUUCUAUUCCAAAGGCAUAGUCUGGGACAGUGGGCCCCUCACCAGCUGGGCCAUCCCAUAAAUCUGCUUCAUUUACUUUUCUGCAAUUUCCACCCUGUUAAAGGUGUUCAGGUGCCUCUCCUGUGCCUGUGUGCAGUGCUGAAGAUGGACUGUCCUUGCUGCCUUUGGGUUUUCCCCAUCAAUAACGAUGCCUUCCCUCUGUACCAGACCACAAAGAGAUUUUCAGAAGCACCUGAAUUAUUUUUUCCCCUUGUUUUAUCCUGUUAGAGGGGCACAGUGAUGACAGCCCAGUUUUGAGGCUGCUGGACUCAAAGGUCUCCCUUGCUGUAUUUGUCACAAGGACAAGGCUAUGUGGAUUCCAGCAUGACACUUAACCUUAUUAGCACCAAAAUACUUCCUGCUGAUUUCCACAAUCAAAGCAUCUCUGCUAAUGUGAAUAUCACCAGAUAGUAAGAGAUAUUACCAGCACUUUGAAGGCCAGGUUGAACAGGGCUUGGAGCAGCCUGAUUUACUGGAUGGUGUCCCUGCCCAUGGGAGAUGAGUUUUAAGUUCCUUUCCAAUCCAGCCAUUCUGGGACUGAUAAAGCACAGGACUUGCAGCUCCUGGGGUGAGUUGCACAGGGUGGGAUUGGCUUCACAAGCUCUGGAUUUGUAACUGAGAUAUAAUAUUCAGUUUUUUCAGUAAUAAUUUUUCUUUGUUGCAGUGAGCUCAAGGAUGUGCUGUUUAAGUUGUUUUACUAUGACCUGCAGUUUCUGGGGCAGGGGAUAAAGUGGUCUGGUCUGCAGCAGCCAGAGCCCAGUGAUGGGAGUGAGUGCCCAUCCUACAGGCUCUUCCUGCAGCCCCAGCACUCACUCAAGGACCUUUGCUGUGGAUGUUGCAUCUUGCCUUUUCUUGUAGGGUUAAUUGUGUGCUGUAAUAUCCAGAGCUCAUUAAUGAGAGGAGAGUGGAAGUGAAAGUAGGGCUUGUCUCUGCUGCCUGUGCUGGUGUCUGCUGGUCAGCCUGGACUCAUCCAGUGAGGGAUGUAUGUGGGUGCUCCCAUGCACCAGUGACUGACCUGACAGGUCUCAUAACUCUUGCCUGUUUUAAUUACUGUGUUGGAGCAGGUGCACUGGAGGUGUCUUGCAGACUGACAGGAUGCUCGGGUCCUUGUCCAGAGCUGGGGCUGCCUAGAGAUGUUCACCAGCAUCUCCCAGGGGGGUUUGGUGGCUGGGCUCACUGCUGCUAUAGAGGAACCAGCACAAAGCCCUUCAGAGCCAGUGAUGCUGAACCAGCCUGUGAUGUAUCAAAGUGAUCAUAAAUGGUAUGGGAAGGAGGGAGGGAUGUCUGGGGAAGCUGCAGAGAUUGAUUUGAAAUGUGAUUCUUUUUGCGAAUGAUGUGACUGCUCCUUGAAGAGCAGUUGGGCUGUAAUGUUUAAGAAGGUGUUAAUUGACCUCACCAAGGAGAAAGGGUGAAAAAGGCCAAAGUCAGCAGCAGUGUCUCAAGCUUAUGUUGCCCAGGAUUCUACUUAUGCAAAGGCUUUUGUAAGUUAAAAGAAGACGAUUUUUGUGCACAAGCUGGUUUAUGUUAUUUAAUAGUUUCUGCUUUUCAUUUGGCAAAACAAAUGAAUAUUUCUUCUAAAUUAAAAAAUUUUUUACAACCUCUGACUUCAGCUGGAAAGAAUUCUGCACAGAAAAUGUUUUCUUUAUGUACAGUUGGAGAACAGUUCUGUGAUGUGAGUGGGGGUCUGAGCUGAGUUACCAUUCCCAAUUCUAUGUCAGGAAAGAUCAAGAAGGAGAAAAGGAAUGAGUUGACAUUUUGAGAGACAAAUUAAUUCACUGACAUGAAUUGUUGGAAUAAAAGGCUUUUGUGUAGAAGGCUGCCCUGGGAAGCCUGGAUUUUAAGGCUGUAAUUGGAAUUUGAGCUUGGGGACAGAUCCUUAGGUGGGAAAAUCAGCACAGUUUCAAUUGGGCCUGGUUAAUUAGUUCUCUGUAAUAAAACAGCUGUAGAAAGAGGUGUACAGAUGGGCCUUCCUUCCUUCCAGCCAGUGGAUCCCACUGUCCCUGAGAGAGUGCAACAGCUCAGUCAUCCUGUCUGUACCUGACAGCUGGGAAAUCCAGUUAUGUCCAACUUGGAUUUUGAGCUCAAGAGAAAAAUUCACUUAAUCUUAGUUUUUAGAUGAGAAUGCAGUAGUAAAAUAAAAAGCAUUGAUUAAAAAAAUAAUCUCUAUAAUAAGGAAAACAAAAGCUUCUGGAGCACAGCCUGGCCUCCAGGGAAGAGCUGCUGGCCAGGGGGUUCAGUGUUAUGUCCCAUCCCUACUGCAUUCUCACCAAAUCCGAUCUGCUGACACCUGCUCACAUCCCUAGCUUUCAAAAACAGGUGAGCUUGGAAAAAUUGGAGUUAUUAAUCCUUCAAACCCAACCAUUUAAGACAGGGCAGCAAGCUCCCAGCUGUGUCCUCAGGUGCAGGGAGGAGCUGGCUCCCUGCCCCAGUAGCAGGACCAUGCUCUUUGGGUGCCUGCUGGGAAUCCCACAGUCUUAAAAGCAUAAGAGAGGAUUUUCCCACUUUUUGUGCCAAGUAAGGCCUUUAUCUUGCAGAGCAUCCAUAUGCGACACUCACAAUGUCAGUGUUUAGCACCAAGAUGCCAUUUCUGGGAGCAGGAAUGCUGUUAUCUACACCUGGCAGAUGUUAUAGUGAACUCCUGUCUGAUCCAACAGGGUUUCCUCUGUCAUUUCAAUCCCAUUGCCUUUGGGAUGCAGUUGUGAGGUUUCUGAAGAAGGAAGCUUCUCUGUGUUGCUCACUGGGUUUUGCUGCAAAAAGCAAAGAGCAGGGUUUUAAUUUCUGGAGUGAGCAGGUGCCUUGUGCCUGUCCUGCCAUGUUCCACGACCCCCUAGCCUCCCACCGUGCCUCACGUACCGGGGGGGCCUUUGGGGCAAAGUCCUUCUGGCAGACAUGAGCUAUGAUGCCAGCAGCCAGCGCGUCCCCGAGGACGUUGGUCAUCGUUCGCAGCCGGUCCCUGCGGGGAGACAGUGCAGGAUGCAGGGGGUGGCCACAGCCAGUGUGCCCAGGGUGCUGAUGGCUUUGGAACACGUCAGCCCCUAUCCUGAAUGUCCCUCCCUCUGGUGCUGCCAAGUGCUGUGUUGGUUUUGGAGAUGCAGAGAGAAGAUGGUCCCUAUGUGAGCCUCGGGCAGCAUCUGUCUGACCCUGCUGUGUGAGCAGUGCAGGGACCUGCCAGGGCCACCUCCCAAAGUGGGACAGGCAUUGUUGUGCCAAGUGCAGGGGGAGCUGCCUCAGCAAGUCAUAAAACUUGAGAUGCCUCUCGAGGAGAAAUCCUGCAGAUCCAGCCACUGGUCCUCUCAUGUCUACCCAGGCACCUCUCACAUUAGUAGAAGGUGCCAGCAGUGCUGGGUACCCUGUGAUGCUGGAAGGUUGAACUGGUGAUGUGCUGACCUUCCUUUGUUGAGGAAAGAAAAGGAGGAAGGAAAGAGAAAAGCAGCCUUGAUACUUGGCACUGUUCCCUCUUUUCCCUGGGGCUGGAAAGUACAAACCAGCCACCCUCAUGUCACUUCCCUAACUCAGCAUCUGCUCUGGUUUCUCACCUAAUGACUCACUUUGUUUUUAUCUUAGUACUUUAGAAUGGCACAUUUCACAAACCGUGAGUUUGUCUGUGACAAGUGUAAUCCAGCAUCAGUUUCUGUCUUGAGAGCAGUCUGGUUUCAUCCGUCAAGAUGAAGAUACCUCACCAUGAAUUGACACAGGGCACUGCCCACAGCAGUGGCUUGGAGAGCACUUACAGAGCCCAGUCGACGGCGAUGAUGAGGGUGAUGUCCUCGGUGGGCAGCCCCACGGAGGUGAGCACGAUGACCAUGGUGACGAGCCCGGACUGAGGGAUCCCAGCAGCCCCAAUGCUGGCUGCUGAGGCUGUGAUGCUGCAAAGAGAAGGGGGCUGUGCACUUCAAACGUGUUUGCAUGGCAGAGUAAGUUAUUGCUGUGUGGAAGGACUGGAUUGGAUCUGACUUCCUCCACCCUCCUGCUCCCAGGUGCUAUCUCAAAUUCCCCUCUGCACGGUGGGUGCCCUGGCUCUGUGCUCCUCCCUGCCCUCAGGGUAGGGACUUCCUCAUUAAAAUUACUAAAUAUUUGCAAAUGUACUUAAUUAUUAUUUAGUUACAUGCUUUAUUUCCCUGCUUAUAAAAUGAGAAUAUCCCAUUCCUGAAAAUCUGCACAAAUCCUUCUGUGCUCAGCCCUGCAGUGCUGACCUGCUCCAGCCACAUGUCUGUGCAGCUAGGCUUUUCCCUACAGGCAAAGUCCUUGACUUGCAGCAGAUUCAGGGGCACAGAGCCAGCCCAGCUUUCCCUGGCACACAGCACAGGGACUGGGACAUGCUCCCUCCCCUGCUCCUCAGCUUCCCAGCGAAGGUCACUGCAUUAACAAGAUCUCUGCAAACAGGAAAAAUGCAAGAGGUUGUCCUAAUGUCCAUACAUAGGAAUAGAGAGAAAUAAUCUGGCUGCUGCAGAGAAACUUGUACCUGAUAGUUAUGAUUUGCCCCAGAUCCAGUUCGUACUCGUUGACCUGGGCGAUGAAGAUGGCAGCGACGGCCUCGUAGAGCGCGGUGCCGUCCAUGUUGAUGGUGGCCCCGACGGGCAGCACGAAGCGCGCCACGCGUCUGUCGAUGCCGUUGUUCUCCAGGAGACACUUGAGGGUGAUGGGCAGGGUGGCUGAGCUGCAGGACAGGAAACGAGCAGUAAUUGCAGUUGGUAUUGAGCUUUGUAAGCUGGAGUCAGUGUGAUGGGACAGAAAUACCAGCCCUCCUGGGGGUGGAUGCCACAAUGUUGCUGGAGCAAUGAAAAUCUCUUCAGCUCUCACCACCCGGGGAAUAGACAUGAUCAGCAAAGUGAGCUGCAGGCUGAGAGAGAAAUUGUCAGAAUGCUAUUUCAAUGGCUGAAGGCACCACUUUAACCACCUGUGUGCCACAGCUGCAGCUCUCUUGACCAUCCCUGGUGCCCACAUUAAUCCUGCAGCACCUCCUGGAGUGUGAGACUGUGUGUGCCAGCACUGGCUGAGUUGGGCUCCAGCCAGACCCCUGUGCUCCUCACCUGUCUGCUCCAUGAGGGAUGCCUGCCUCACCUUCUGCAACCCUGACCUCUCUCUCUUGUUUUUGUCUAGCAUGAAGAUGACAAAUGUCCCACAGGAACUGGGGUGAGGAAUGGAGGAAGAAGAACAGGUUGAAGAAAGGAAACCACAGAAAAGAAGUCCAUGGGAUUGCAACAGACUCUGGGAGGCGGGGACUGCAUUUGGGAAGGGCUCUGGAUGCAGAGCAAUGGCCCCAGCCCACAGACCAUGGGGCUGGGACAAGGAGCAAGGUGUUCUCUCUGACAGUUCUCCCUCCCUUAGCUGGCUGCAGAACAGAGGGAGGAGAAGCCUGAUGGAGACAGAGCUGGAGAUCCAGGUUCAGGAGGAGACCAGGUUAUUAAGAGUUGGAGAAGGAAGAAUUGCAGCAGUGGUCUUUGGGGAAGGGAGGCACAGUCCAGGUGGUUUUAUCUGGAUUAUGUGGACAAGCAACAGAGAGGCCAGAAAAACCCUUUGCCUGUCAGAUAUGUUCCAGGAAAAUGUUUGAAUUUGUGUCUCCUGGAAAAGAUGCUAAUUUAUAGUGUGAAGGUUUUUCAUUGUUAUAAGGAAUGUAUUUCAAUGAAAACUGAAUAGGUAAAUAUAAUCUAAAAUGAUUAAAAUCUUUUCAAAGUA